UACGUAGGGUGCAAGCGUUGUCCGGAAUUAUUGGGCGUAAAGAGCUCGUAGGCGGUUUGUCGCGUCUGCUGUGAAAACUCGGGGCUUAACCCCGGGCCUGCAGUGGGUACGGGCAGACUAGAGUGCGGUAGGGGAGACUGGAAUUCCUGGUGUAGCGGUGGAAUGCGCAGAUAUCAGGAAGAACACCAACGGCGAAGGCAGCUCGCUGGGACGGUACUGACGCUGAGACGCGAAAGCUAGGGGAGCAAACAGG
rnacentral:rRNA from 1 species